rnacentral:lncRNA from 1 species
UUUAUAGAAAGGCUUUUUUUGCAAUUGACCUUCUGAAAAAAAUUAAUUUUAAAAAUAGUCUUAGCAAAUUUAUAUUUGCAAAAAUAGUCUUGUCCCUACCACGUAAGCGCCACGCUAGCGGGGCUGGGGCCAGAAAGUUAAGUUGAAUACGGUGAACUAUUAUCAUGUCCAAACACAAUAAAUCAUUCACCGUGUAUAGACACGGUGAAUGAUUCACCGUGUAUACUGCGUGACUUGAACUUGGCAGUGUGUGACUUGGACUUGUUGGUGAAUAUACACGGUGGUAAUACAUUAAACACGGAGAACCGUUCACCGUGUCUAGACAUGGUGAAUGGUUCAUCGUGUUCAGUAGAGCUACAUAACACUUACAAUUAUUUCAGCACAAUAAAUCACUAAAAUACAACAUCAACACACACAAUAACAAAUUCGAUACAACAAUAUAAGAAAUUCAACAUCAACAAUACAACAACAAAUCCAACACAAUAAUAAAUCCAACACAAUAUCAAUAGAGCAUCAAUACCUUAUCAUCACAACAGAAUAUCAAAAAUUAAAACAAAUUUUUUAAUAAUAUAGAAAGUUCGAUGUAAUUUAAAAUUUACAAAAAUAUAAUGUUAUGUUCUCCUUCUAGUCCCUCGAUCACGUCUACUUACAACGUCCCUUACCACGUCCGCGACCACGAUCAACACUAUGCUCAUCAA